GACGAACGCUGGCGGCGUGCUUAACACAUGCAAGUCGAACGGAAAGGCCCAGCUUGCUGGGUGCUCGAGUGGCGAACGGGUGAGUAACACGUGGGUGAUCUGCCCCUAACUUCGGGAUAAGCUUGGGAAACUGGGUCUAAUACCGGAUAGGACAAUCGUUUAGUGUCGGUUGUGGAAAGUUUUUUCGGUUAGGGAUGAGCCCGCGGCCUAUCAGCUUGUUGGUGGGGUAAUGGCCUACCAAGGCGUCGACGGGUAGCCGGCCUGAGAGGGUGGACGGCCACAUUGGGACUGAGAUACGGCCCAGACUCCUACGGGAGGCAGCAGUGGGGAAUAUUGCACAAUGGGCGCAAGCCUGGUGCAGCGACGCCGCGUGCGGGAUGACGGCCUUCGGGUUGUAAACCUCUUUCGACAGGGACGAAGCUUUGGUGACGGUACCUGUAUAAGAAGCACCGGCUAACUACGUG
rnacentral:rRNA from 1 species